rnacentral:rRNA from 1 species
AUGGUCCCACGUCGAGCUUCGUGUUUUCUCCACAGCCACAGCAACACGGUCCCUCAUCGAGCUUCGUGUUAUCUCCACAGCCACAGCAGCAUGGUCCCUCGUCCAGUUUCGUGUUUGAGCCAGAGCAGACGUCACAGCCAGCAGGAGCCUACGGAUAUCAGGCGUCUAUGUCGGCAUCACAUGAUACGUGGGGGAGUGAUCAACAUCCUGAGGAGAACAUACAGGCUCAGAUGUCGCAGCACACCCAGUGGAUGA